rnacentral:rRNA from 1 species
GAUGAACGCUGGCGGCGUGCCUAAUACAUGCAAGUCGAGCGAACAGACGAGGAGCUUGCUCCUCUGACGUUAGCGGCGGACGGGUGAGUAACACGUGGAUAACCUACCUAUAAGACUGGGAUAACUUCGGGAAACCGGAGCUAAUACCGGAUAAUAUAUUGAACCGCAUGGUUCAAUAGUGAAAGACGGUUUUGCUGUCACUUAUAGAUGGAUCCGCGCCGCAUUAGCUAGUUGGUAAGGUAACGGCUUACCAAGGCAACGAUGCGUAGCCGACCUGAGAGGGUGAUCGGCCACACUGGAACUGAGACACGGUCCAGACUCCUACGGGAGGCAGCAGUAGGGAAUCUUCCGCAAAGGGCGAAAGCCUGACGGAGCAACGCCGCGUGAGUGAUGAAGGUCUUCGGAUCGUAAAACUCUGUUAUUAGGGAAGAACAAAUGUGUAAGUAACUAUGCACGUCUUGACGGUACCAAAUCAGAAAGCCACGGCUAACUACGUG